rnacentral:rRNA from 1 species
GGUGACCUAUCCAUGAGCAGGUUGAAGUGGAGGUAAAGCUCCAUGGAGGACCGAACCAGACGUCUGUUGAAAAAGGCGGGGAUGACUUGUGGAUAGGGGAGAAAUUCCAAUCGAACCCGGAGAUAGCUGGUUCUCCUCGAAAUAGCUUUAGGGCUAGCCUCAUGGAUCAUUGGUGGGGGUAGAGCACUGAAUGUGCGCGGGGGCCACAAAGCCUACCAAACGCUAUCAAACUUCGAAUACCAUACAAUGCAGACCAUGGGAGUCAGUCCGCGAGAGAUAAGUUCCGCGGGCAAAAGGGGAACACCCCAGAUCAACCGCUAAGGUCCCCAAGUUCACGUUAAGUGGAGAAGGAUGUGGAAUUGCACAGACAACCAGGAUGUUGGCUCAGAAGCAGCCACACAUUUAAAGAGUGCGUAAUAGCUCACUGGUCGAGUGAUUGUGCGCCGAAGAUGUCCGGGGCUAAACGUGACACCGAAGCGAUGGGUGCAUCUGAAAGGAUGCGCGGUAGAGGAGCAAUGUGCAGAGGCAGAAGCCGUAUCGAGAGGCACGGUGGACACUGCACAAGAGAGAAUGCCGGUAUGAGUAGCGAGAGGCAUGCGAGAAACAUGCCCGUCGAAAGCCCAAGGUUUCCUGGGGAAGGUUCAUCCGCCCAGGGUAAGUCGGGGCCUAAGCCGAGGACGGAAGUCGUAGGCGAUGGACAGCAGGUGUAGAUUCCUGCACUACCGAUGGAAUGAAGCAGUGACACAGAAGGAUAACUCGAGCAGGGUGAUGGUCAACCCUGUGCAAGCAUCAAGGUUGGGUUGUAGUGAAGUACGCAACCCUAUAAGCUGAGGUGUGAUGCGGACCGAAAUUUCAGUAGGGAAGCGAGUGAGUUCACGCUGGCGAGAAAAGCUGCUAGUAUAUCCAAAGGUACCCGUACCGGAAACCGACGCAGGUGGGCGAGGAGAGAAUCCUGAGACGAACGGGAGAACCCUUGUUAAGGAACUCGGCAAAAUGACCCCGUAACUUCGGGAUAAGGGGUGCCUGCGAGAGCAGGCCGCAGAGAAUAGUCACAAGCGACUGUUUAGCAAAAACACAGGUAUCUGCGAAAGCGAGAGCUGACGUAUAGGUGCUGACACCUGCCCGGUGCUGGAAGGUUAAGGGAACAUGUUAGAGCAAUCGAAGCAUCGAACCGAAGCCCCAGUAAACGGCGGCCGUAACUAUAACGGUCCUAAGGUAGCGAAAUUCCUUGUCGGGUAAGUUCCGACCCGCACGAAUGGUGUAACGACUUGUGAGCUGUCUCAACAGGGGGCCCGGUGAAAUUGAAGUAUGGGUGAAGAUGCCCAUUACCCGCGACUGGACGGAAAGACCCCGUAGAGCUUUACUGCAGCCUGAUAUUGAGUUUCGGUAACUGAUGCACAGGAUAGGUGGGAGUCUGAGAGACAUGGGUUUCGGCUCAUGUGGAGACGGUGUUGGGAUACCACUCUUCGGUUACUGAAAUUCUAACAUAGCUCUGUGAAACCAGAGGAUGGACAGUGUCAGGUGGACAGUUUGACUGGGGCGGUCGCCUCCGAAAGAGUAACGGAGGCGCCCAAAGGUACCCUCAGAAUGGAUGGAAACCAUUCGAAGAGCGCAAAGGCAGAAGGGUGCCUGACUGCGAGAUUGACAAAUCGAGCAGAGACGAAAGUCGGGCUUAGUGAUCCGGCGGUAUUGAGUGGAAAAGCCGUCGCUUAACGGAUAAAAGCUACCUCGGGGAUAACAGGCUGAUCUCCCCCAAGAGUCCACAUCGACGGGGAGGUUUGGCACCUCGAUGUCGGCUCGUCGCAUCCUGGGGCUGAAGCAGGUCCCAAGGGUUUGGCUGUUCGCCAAUUAAAGCGGCACGCGAGCUGGGUUCAGAACGUCGUGAGACAGUUCGGUCCCUAUCCAUCGUGGGCGUAGGAGUCAUGAGAGGAGCUGUUCCUAGUACGAGAGGACCGGAAUGGACGCACCACUGGUGCAACUGUUGUCGUGCCAACGGCAUAGCAGGGAAGCGAAGUGCGGAUGGGAUAAACGCUGAAGGCAUCUAAGCGUGAAGCCCACCUCAAGAAUAAGACUCCAC